UCUUGUGGCUGGCUAAAGCGAUGCUGCUUUUCUCUCUUUCAGCCUGAGGUGGUGAGCAUCGGUGUAGCUUUGGACCUUCCUGUCCCACAAGAUUAAAAGUCAUACUAAAACACUUAAGAGUGAAGAUGUGGUUCAAGGCCCGGUGAGAAUGAAGAAGACCCACCAACCCAGGCCUUUUUGCUUGCCCGAGGUAUUAAUUACUUUGAGGUUGUGAAAACAGUAUCUGAUGAAAAGAGUUGAAAAGAGGGUGGAUUUAUUUUGGCUCACGGUCCUAGGGUUAAGUCCAGCGUGGUAGAGAAGCUACAGAGACAGGAGAUUCGUGGACAGCACACAUGGCUAGGGUUCUGCAUCUCAGCUCCUCACGGAACAGGAAGUAGAAGGAUGACAGGAAGUAGGGCAAGGCUAUUGGACGUCAAGACCGGCCUUACAAGGGCCUUUUUCCUCCAGCUAAGCUCCACGAACUAAAUAUUCCUAACGUCCCCAAACAUCACCCGCAGCUUAGGACCAACUGUUCAAACACAGGAGUCUCUGGGGGACAUUAUAACCCGAAAGGUAGCACGUGGCUAAAAUUGGUUAGAUUUGGAUAGCAACUCCCAUUUCGAACCGGAUGUGUGAGUUUUGUUUCCGUAGAUCUGCUCCCAGUCGCCUUCAUUUGUAUAGUUUAACAUUUGAGUCUGUGACUCUUUAUUCGGCGACAUUAUUUGCGUUGAUCGCUGUUCCUUCACUCACGUUGCUUUAAGGGGACGUGUGAAAAGAUCCGGUGACGUCCACCCAGCAUGCCUCUGCCAAGUCCGCUCUAAAUCUAACUGUGGAUGGAUCCUCUGGGACUAAGCAUACUCAGACACAGGAAAGGAAUUAACUUCACAAACGGCAGUUGAAUCCUCAUUGUGUACAUUUUAUUGUCAAAGAAGUAGGAGGGAGGGCGUGUGGAGAAGAAAGAAGGGUCAAGAGCCAUGGUUGUGUUCUCAAGAAAUCCAAGAGCUGUGUGACUGUUUACUUAACCCACGGUGCACUCAUUCGAAUAUGCCGGUGGACAUAUAAAGGUACUGCCUACUAGAUCAAAAGGGAAAGGUUUCAUGCUACUGUACCAUCCAAGAUGCUGCUUGUGGAUUGCCUGAGAUCAUAACAGGUAACAAGCAAAGAGAGCCCUUAUUACAGAUGAAUCCGAAGUCAUUACAGGGAGGAAAAUGGCUCUUCCCUUGGGACUCGCUCUUGUUUAUCUUGGCCUCAGAACUACAUUUUCUACAACUGGUACCCUAGAAAGCCACUACAUACUAGUAAAAAGCAAAGUUCACCCAGAAGGUGUCACAACUUCAUCUAUGCCCUGAUGUUGGAGUUCCUAGUUCUAUAAAGUAAGCAGUAGAAAGCUUAAGACUGAUACAACAAGGAAAGAAGGCUUCAGGACCCGACCGUCAUCUUUACGUGAGUCACUUGAACUAAAAAAUCAGCAAAGAAACUUUAGAGAUGAAUGAUAUCAUAAAUCAGUCAGCUGUAGCAGGAAUUUCCACCAAAUGUAUGAGGAACAUCCAUUCUGUUAAGCAAUUUGUGAAGACAUCCCUAAAAUCACUCACAGUAUAGGCCAUAAAACAACUUUUAUGAAUUUCAAACUUUGAUAGAUAUGCUUUGGAGAUGUGUAGCACUUGGCCCUUACGGUGCUAAUUUUUCUUCUUGAAAAAAAAAAGGUUCCUGUCAAUAUUUUCAACAUAAAUACUCCAAUGUUUCUGUUUGAAGCAUGUGAAUAUUUAAAUGUGCACAUUAAAGACUUUGAGAAAUUUGAUAUAAACACACAUACACAUACUUCACAAUAGAAAUCGAUCAAGUAUUUAUUUUAUCUGAUAUGUGCCAAGCACAUACGAUUACAGAUCUCUUUUUAUCAAAGUAGACACAUUAUCAUUUAGGGGAUAUUCAUUGUUAGGUGACCCAGUUUUCAAAGCCUGGCUUUAGUUUCAGAGAACUCAAGAGCGUGACCUAGCAGCGUUUUGAGAAAGCCAUGGACUUGUGAGACAGAUGUAGAGAAGGGUUUGAGAGAAAGUGAUUAUUGGCCAAGAAGAGUGUAGCCUGUGACCACAUUAGUGUCUGCAAAAUGAAGCAAACCCAUCUGUGUGCUAGAGAGGAGAAAUUUUCAUAUGCUGAUUUUAUUAGCAUGGUUCUUAUUUCCGAAGCAUCCCGAGGACUCUGUGGAAAACCUGGGUUAGUUGUGGUAGGAACAAAGACAGUUGUGUGAAGCCUGACUCUGUCUCACCCUGCCUGCUCUCAACCUGGGAGCUUCUGAGAAGAAAAUCACUAGCAAGCUAAAGCAGAUUUGUAACAACUUACCCCCACACCACUAUGCCUGACAGGGAUAACGGUGAAGGAGCCCCUGGCUUGCAUUUCGAAUGGGUUCUCAUUAAUUCAUAUUUCAUAUUCAUAUGCAUGACAAUGACUAAAUUUCAGAGCUUAAUUUCCCAAUCCCUUAGGGGACAUAGCAGAAUGAUCAUGAAUAUCUUGAAAUAAUGUGACUUAAACACUGUAGGUUUAAACAGCCUGUCUGAUUAUCAGAUUCAAAAAUGGUCUGGUGCCUGCUGUUCAUGUCCUGUGAUCAGGGUAGACAGUGCUCACUGAGCUAGAGACAGAGGUACCACAGUAUAACCCUGGUGUGGAGGUGGAUAUAGAUUCCUGUUAGAAACAUCAGGAGAAGUCAAUGAUAAGUAGAGAAUUCUGGGACAGGAGAUGGGAAACACAGCGAUGCUCUCCGAGUUCGUGACACACUAUCAGGAAGGUGCCAGACACCAUCUAUCUGUAGAGAUAAAUGUGUGCCGAGAUGAAUAGCAGAUACUUAACUUAUAAAGAACACGUAGUAUAUAGUACUGGAACAAAACAGAGGUAAGAGAGUCUAGAUUUAUUUUACAGCCCUUUCACAGAGGACAACAAACCCAUCAUUUUAAAAAAGAAAAUAUAAAUAUAAAUAGUUAUAAUAUGCUAGACGUCUGCCGCUCUGAGACAUGCUACACCAAACAAUUAGCAGUCAUAUUGUUUUAGUCCUCGAGCCCUUAGAUGAGGAGCUAACCUUGUUCUGCAUUACAGUGGUUGUGUUAUCUGUUUACCGGUUGCUCUCCCUCCAAAACCCAGCCUCAAAUUACUAAUUAUUAGUUACGUAGGUGAUGGGGAUAGUAAUGGUGGUGGUGAUGAUGCCCUUGAUGACGACAGUGGUGACCGCGAUUAUUUCUCAUGAGCUUAUGGCCCAGGAGAGUCAAUUUCUCUGUUCAACUUGAUGCAACCAUGUCCUUAGUUGAUGAAAUACUAUUUUGAGUUGUAUGUGGAAACUAGAGGAAUUUCACUUGAUUACCUGAUUGGCUGGGAAGGAUGACAAAUAGCCAAUUGCUGGGCGGAAAAUAAGGAGGUGGGUUUUCCGGGCAAGACAGGAAGACAAGGCGGGGAGGAGGAUUUGGAGGAGAUGGUGAAUGGCCGAUGACAGUGGAGAGUUGUUGAAAGGAAGAUGAAGCAGAAGCACACAGCCUGGGGAAACCACAAGCAGCAGGGAUUUUGUAGCAGGGGAAGGAAGUAUUAUAGAGGUGGAUCUGUCCCAAUAUAAAGUGUGGUUUAUAAAUAUACAACUAAGUUGCGUUUUCCUUGCAAGGACUAAUGGGAGUUGGAGAUUCACUGCAACAAAGUUGCAUUUUCCUUGAAUGGGCUUUUUGUGGUUGGCAAUUUGCAACAGGAAAUAGUAUUUGAAUUAGCAAAUUGAAUAAUGAAAGGCUUCCUCUCCAAGGUGAACCGACAUUUGUUAACCUGUUUAUGGUUUGAGUAGAGCAAAAUCAUUGAGAAAGGAUUCACUUGCUGUCUUUGAGCUGACACAUCCAUCUCUACCUGUUCCUGGCUCCUUAGCUGUCAGGAUAGUUUAAGAGGAAGCAGAAAGAAAAGGGAGUUUGAGGGUCAUGUUUCUAGAGAAGUUAUUUUGGAACUCUACUCUCUCCAAAAAGCACAGAAAAAAAUCCUAUUUAGCCCCCAAAGAGGGAACAAUUUGCAGCCUGGUAAAGAUAGCAGCAUGACACCUUCCCCCCACCCCUCCAGUCUUGUGAAGCCCACCAGAAGGAGGCAUGCCUAUGUAGCAGUCAAAACCAAAACUCAAAAUGAACUACAAGAACCAAGCUGGUGGUAGAUGAUUUGAGAGUUGAUGACCAAAGGAAAGCAUAAAGCAGGGUGAUUGUGGGUGAUUUAAAAAGAAAAUAUUCAUAAAGUAAAAUUUCCUACAGACAAAAUCAUUAAAAACCACGUCCAACUGGAACCGAGCCAAGGAACGCAAAAACAAGAGCACAGGAAAGACAACACGAUAAGACAAAUGAGAUAUGAGAGACAAGUUUUAAAAAUAAUUUUGUGAUAUGAAUAAAGCUUCUCCCCUCCAAAAAGCAUCAGAGAUGUUAGGAGACCUUAGAUAGUUCAACAAAUCAAAACCAAAGAUGUGUAACCCAGGAUUUAUGGAAUUCAGGAUCAGUGGAUAAAAUUCACACAGACUCAUGAGCCCAAUUAGCAUGUAAGUCAACUUCCAUCACUGUAACAAAAAAAACCUGAAGCUGGUCAGUUACAGUGAAAGGGGUUCACUUACCUCAUAGCGUUGGAACCUUGAAGCCCAAGAUGGGGAGACUGAGCUCAGCCUCUGGUUAGCUCCUCCCCACUCCUGCCCACUGACCCACAAUACACACCAGCAAUGGAAACAGCACCAGCUGUAUUCAAGAGGUAGGGAACACGCCUUAUGUUAAGGACAACAGUCUACUCUUGGGACAGUGUAUUCCCUGAGAGACACUUAGAGUACAUUCCCCGAGAGACCCUUAUAGCCAGUGGCCCAGGGAGUUAAUUACUUUUACUAAACCCUACCUUUAAAAUGAUGUAUCUAUUUCCAUUUAUGAUUUUAUGUGUAUGAGUGUUUUGUCUGUCUGUCUGUCUGUCUGUCUGUACAUAUGUACUUAUGCAUCUAUUAUUAGUGUCUCUGCAGAGACCAGAGCGCUUCGUAAGAUCCCUUGGGACUAGAGUUACAGGUGGCUGUGAGUAGCCCUGUGUGGUUGUUAGGAAAUUAACUGGCUCCCCUGCAAGAGCACCAAACCCUCUCAAGGCCUGCACCAUCUCCCCAGGGCCAAAGGACCUUAAAAAGCCGCACCUCAACAUUGACGCACUGGAGACUAAACUUCUGGCACGUGAAUUCCGUCAGGAAUGCACUGCAGCCAAAGUUGUACGUCCCACUGACCAGCUGGAAUGUGUCAGUUUUCAACAAAACCAACAAGUGCACCAAAGAGUCUUAACAGCACCCCCACCCCCGCGCCCCAAGGUUUUCAUACAAUCACCAUCCGUGUAGGCCUGGGGAGAUGGCUCAAUCAGAAAAUGCUCGCCAUGCAAGUGUGAGGGCCAGGGUUCAAUCUCCAGGCCACGGUGACUUACACUGUAGUCGCAGAGCCGUGGAAGUAGGAAGAGAUGGUUACUGAGUCUCAUUGGUCAGUGAGCUGAGUCUGUCUGAUGAGGUCCAAGCCAGUAAGGGACACCAUCAUAACGAACAGUGCUGAUGACUUCUGUGGAAGGACACCUUGGGUUGACCUCCAGCCAUAUUGGGUAGCCAUGUACAGGCACACACAAGCACGGGCACAUGCAUCACACUCCAACAAACUUGCUCACACAUCUACAUGUGCAAUGUGCCCGUAUGCACACACACAUAGUCACUCUGUAUCAAAUCAAAGUUCUCAAAAAUAUAUUCAACACAACGGCUUCUUAGGCUUACACGUGACUCUAUUUAGAUCUUAUUAUUCUAAACCCGCACCAUAUUAAUGUCUUAAUAAUGAAGUGUAAUGAAAAUACACAUACAGUGAGGAGAAGUGGAUUGCUGUUAUAUCAUACAUUUAAAUUAUUGAUAUGAUUGCUGUAUCAUUAUAACUUGCUUCCUUCGAAAUUCCGUGCAUUCAAUCUUGUGCAUCUAAAAGUAUUCUGAGAUGGGGGCUGGUGGUUUCAACAAAUUGUUAAAAGUCUCCAAAGCACAACAAAUUACUUAUUUCUAUUAGUUGCUGGACAUAAGUUGCCAUUUAAAAAUGCUCCUGAAAUGGAGAUAAUUUGAUAGUACUGAUCAAGAGGUCUAGAAUAUUAACCUAAAAUGGUCAAAGCCAUUGUUUCUUAAAAAUCAUCUGUCUAUCUACCUAUCUAUCAUGUCUCUAUCUAUCCAUACAUACAUAUGUUCAUACACUUAUUUGUCUGUCUGUCUAUCCAUCCAUAUAUUCAUACAUAUGUCUGUCUGUCUGUCUGUCUAUCUAUCUAUCUAUCUAUCUAUCUAUCUAUCUAUCUAUCUAUCAUCUAUCUCUAUUCAUCUAUCUACCUAUCCAUACAUCCAUACAUACAUUUGUCUAUCUCUCCAUCCAUAUAUUCAUACAUUUGUCUGUGUUUGUCUAAUGUGUAUGUGUCUUUGACUUUGUGAGUUUCUGUGUACCACAUGUAUGGCCAGUGCCCUCAAAAGCCAGAAGAGGAUUCUAGAUCCCCUGGACCUGGACUCAGAGACAGGUUUGAGCUGUGAUGUCCGUACUGAGAAAUUAACCUCGGUCUUCAAUAGCAAUGAAUGCUCUUAACUACUGAACCAGUUCUCAAGUCCCAGCUGAAUUUUACACACACACACACACACACACACACACACACACACACACACACACACACUCUCACACACAUACACUCACACACACACACACUCGCACACAUGCAUACUCACACACACAUAUACACACACUCACAUGCACACACAUAUUCACACACACACUCACACACACUUACACACACAUUUAUACACACACAUACACUCACACACAUACACACUCACACACGCACACACACAGACACACACUCACACACAUGCACACGCACACACUCACAUGCACACACACGCAAACAUAUGCAUGAACACACACGUGCACACACACAAGCACACAUGCACACACACAUAUAUUUCUUUUAAAGAAAACAUCAUUCAGGCCGUCUGCUGAAAAGACCCGCAGAGAGGGUGGGGGCAAAAAAAAAAAAGACCCACGGAAGGAAGUGAGACAGCCAGCAGAACUUUUAACAGCAGCACUUGUGUGAUCAAAGAAUAUUUUAUCAAUGUUUUAGAGUAGCUAUGGAAAUAAAUGUGAGCCCCAAAUCUCUUGUUCAGCCAAACUGACUGUUAAGGAAAAACAACCUGUUGUCGACUGAUGCCAACAUACAAGAACAUAGAGAAAGGCACUGGGGAGACGGGUCAGCGAUUAAGAGCACUUGCUGUCUGGCAGGAGGAAUUUGGUUCCCAGCACCGAGCUUGAGUAGCUGACCACUGUGUGACGCCAGUUCCAGGGACUUUGAUGCUUUCUAAUGGCUUCUGUGAACACUGAGUGCAUGCGCAUACACACACACACACACACACACACACACACACACACACACACACAUUGAGGGCCCAGACAAUAUUUUUCUCAUUCGUUCUUCUUACCAAACUACAGUGGGAACAAACAGCAUGUGAGAGUAAGCAUUCUUGAGUCUUACAUGGCAUCUUGGCAUUGCUGGAACAUCCAAGCUCAUGAAUCAUCUCGCUAAUCAUUUCUUUUCUUCAUGUUUUACAAAAGUAUUAGCCCUUAAUAGAUUGAAAAUAAGAGAAAAAUCCCAGAAUGUAAAAAAAGGUUUCCAACAGCCACAUUUCCCUUAGGCACGAGUGGAAUUAAAUAUCAAUUUCCUCGUACAAUUGAAGACAAGAAAUAACUCUGAGGGACAUAGCCUAAUGUGUAAUGUGUACAUGACCUGACAAUACAGAUAAAUAAUCAUGCUGGAGAGAGAAAUCAUUCAGGAAUGCUUGCCUUAUAAGCACCGACACCUGAGUUCACUCCCUGGAACCGAACAAGCCAAUCGGAAGAAGGAUCAAGAACUAAGAGACCCUCAACAGACUACUCUAACAGAAGACUGUAGCCAUCUCCGUCCACUUUCUGUAGGUUCGGGGUAAAGCAUACCGUGGGUGAUCUUUGGGAAAGACACAUCUCCGUUUGCACCUCUGCCUCAGCUGCCACCACCUGGAGACGUGAAAGAUUCCCACUCAAGCAUUUGCCCUCUGGAGCCUGGGGUAUGGAUGUGUAAAAGAGCUCAACUCAAUCAAACCGUGAGAGACGGUGACUAUGGGAAUGGAGACGGUCCAGCGUGGGGCGCAUGCGCCCUGGUGAGAAGCUUCAUCUGAAAAGGAUUCUGUUGUCAUUGUGAGAUGUGACCACACACCCAUGCUUCCUUUGGGCGAGGCUGUCCUCCUCCUGAUGCUGUCAAGCCUCUAAGACUCAUGUUCACUCCUGAAUCUACUACAUCAGUGUGUCUCCUUUUCAUUUGUGUCCACUUCUCUUAGAAUAACAGCUGUAAGAACCAAGGCAAACAUAGAGCAUACCCAAGGCUGUAUAUUCCCAUUCUAUAACUGGGCAAAUAUCCUUAGCCCCAUGAACGCUGCUCCUUGAUGAAGAGGUGACAUCCAGUUUCUCAGAAGACAGAAAAUAGAAGAAACGUAAGUUGUUCUGAUCACCUUGAUUGAGCACCUGCUUCUUUUCUGAUACAUGUUCGAGUCAGGAAAAUGCACCCAGAGUGACGCCAUAAUUUCGCCUUUCACGGACACUCUCAACCGAGGUCUUUUGAGUGAAGAUGGGAAAGCAGUAGAACGAUCAGGAACCCGACAUGCAACAGGUACGAAGGGAAGCCCCUGAGUUUUAGUGCAGCAGUUCUCAACCUGUGGGUCCCAACCCUGACAGGGGUCACAUAUCAGAUAUCCCGCGUAUCAGAUGCUUACAUUGAGAUUCAUAAUGGUAGCAAAAUGACCGUUGUGAAGUAGCAAUGAAAUAAUUUUAUGGCUGGGGGUCGCCAAGUCUAAUACAGAAACUGUAUUAAGUAUUAUUAAAUAAAAUAUUAGCAUUAACACAUUAAAAUUUAAAUUCAUUAAAAUAUGAUGUAAUAUC